GAUGAACGCUGGCGGCGUGCUUAACACAUGCAAGUCGAACGGAAAGGCCCUGCUUGCAGGGUACUCGAGUGGCGAACGGGUGAGUAACACGUGGGUGAUCUGCCCUGUACUUUGGGAUAAGCCUUGGCCACUGGGUCUAAUACCGAAUAUGACAAUUGUUUGGAUGCGCGUGUGGAAAGCUUUUGCGGUAUGGGAUGAGCUCGCGGCCUAUCUGCUUGUUGUUGGGGUAAUGGCCUACGAAGGCGUCGACGGGUGGCGGGCGUGAGAGGGUGUACGGGAACAGGGGGAGUGAGAUACGGGCCAGACUCGUACGGGAGGCAGCAGUGGGGAAGAUUGCACAAUGGGCGCAAGCCUGAUGCAGCGAGGCCGCGUGGGGGAUGACGGCCUUCGGGUUGUAAACUCCUGUCGCAACCGACGAAGCCGUUUGGUGACGGUAGGUGGAGAAGAAGCACCGGCUAACUACGUG
rnacentral:rRNA from 1 species